rnacentral:rRNA from 1 species
UAGGUGAACCUGCGGAAGGAUGCAUUAUGUGAAUGCCAAACGUGAAAGGACUCUGCUGUGCGCUUCGGCUGCACGCCUUGUCCGAUACAUGUUACACCUGUGCACCUUUGACCCGCAUAUAGUCGGGUCCUUACACACACUUUUAAAAUCUUAGAAUGUUUAUAUAUGAAAUUAUGACAACUUUCAACAACGGAUCUCUUGGCUCUCGCAUCGAUGAAGAACGCAGCGAAAUGCGAUAAGUAAUGUGAAUUGCAGAAUUCAGUGAAUCAUCGAAUCUUUGAACGCACCUUGCGCCCUUUGGUAAUCCGAGGGGCAUGCCUGUUUGAGUGUCUUGAAGCUCUCAAACAUUUAUUUACUUAAAUGUUUGGAUUUGGGUGUUCUUUGCCGGUCGCAAGAUCGGCUCACCCUAAACGCAUUAGCUGGCUUUUGGGUCCGCGAACUCGGUGUGAUAAUUGUCACUCGCUGGGAUUUCGUAACCUUAAGGAAGCUGCUUCCAAUCGUCUCCUCGUGAGACAAUACAUCUAAGUGUGUGACCUCAAAUCAGGUA